GCCCUUGCUUCAAGGAAUCGGCAACCUGCGCUGAAGAAGACAAACGCCAAACAACUUUUAGGAAUUCAACAUAAUUGGUGAUAAAAUGGUGGACUGGUUAUACUAUGUCUCAUUUUUAUUCGUUGGUAUUGGUCUUGUCAUAUAUUCUAAAACGGAUAAGUAUUCUCCAGAGCUACAAAACCCCGACCCAAACCAAAUGUACCAGCCACUUCCAGAAGAAGCCAGCGAAGUCUAGAGUUGAGGCAACCGUGCAAGAAAUAUGGAACAACGUGUGUAAGUUUCUGCAUAGCAAAAACAUAUAUAUGACGAUCAGUGUAGAAAACAUCGCUUGCAACAAUCAUUUGUAGGUGUGGAUUGUGACAGCGAAAUAGAUUAAUAAUUGGUUCGUGGUACCAAAACCCGGCUUGCCCCUCCAUAUACAUGUGCUCCUGUUUACCUUGUAAGUUAUACUAACAAAAAACACAUAGUAUCUGAGAGUAUUAUUAUUUGAUGGAUUUUCUUGUUACUUAUCAAAGGUAGAAUUGUAUACUAAUUUCUUAUUGAAAAUGAAUAUAUAAUA